UCAGUCUGGGCCACAGUGUUGGCAGUUCUGUGGCUACAUGGUCAUAAGAUGGACUUCAAGGAUGAGUGGCAGUUUGUGGCUGCAAAAGCUGUUGCUUGGAUCAAGGCUCAGUCAGGAGCUGAUUUGACCGGGUUUGUGGCAGCUGGGAAUUCCUUCCUUGGCCUCCAGGUGGAGCUGCAGAACUUUAGCCUGCAAGAGUGAAUCAGACCCUGAAUUGCCAUCAUAUUAGCCUAUCGCUGCUGCACGCAAAUUAUAUCCCAGCCAAGAUAAUUACUGUUCUGUUCUUAUUUGUGAAACUGACCAUACUGACAUAAAAGGAACAUUUUGAUAUUCCAAGCAAAGUAAUGAUUCUGCCUACAUCACAAUUAGGUAGACAGAUCGAUUCCAGUUAAUUUAACGUGUUUUCUAAGUGUUCCUGCUAUGCUCCUUUGUAAAACAUUUUACAAAACAUUUUGAAAAGAAUAAGAACGUUUAACACAAUAAUGACUUUAUGAUUUCAUUGAUUCCAACAUAUUAUUGUGCUUAUAACUACUUAAUAAGCUAUUUAUUAAAAGUUUAAACCGCUAA